CGAUGCGAAGAUAGCCAUGCAUGUCUAGUACAUGCCGUAUUAAGGCGAAACCGCGAAUGGCUCAUUAAAUCAGUUAUGGUUCCUUGGAUCGUACCUUACUACUUGGAUAACUGUGGUAAUUCUAGAGCUAAUACAUGCAGCAGAGCUCCGACCUUCGGGGACGAGCGCUUUUAUUAGACCAAAACCAAUCGGACUCCGUCCGUCUCUCGUGGUGACUCUGAAUAACUUUGGGCUGAUCGCACGGGCCCGUCCCGGCGACGUAUCUUUCAAGUGUCUGCCUUAUCAACUUUCGAUGGUAGGUUACGCGCCUACCAUGGUCGUAACGGGUAACGGGGAAUCAGGGUUCGAUUCCGGAGAGGGAGCCUGAGAAACGGCUACCACAUCCAAGGAAGGCAGCAGGCGCGCAAAUUACCCACUCCCAGAACGGGGAGGUAGUGACGAAAAAUAACAAUACGGGACUCUUUUGAGACCCCGUAAUUGGAAUGAGUACACUCUAAAUCCUUUAACGAGGAUCCAUUGGAGGGCAAGUCUGGUGCCAGCCGCCGCGGUAACUCCAGCUCCAAUAGCGUAUAUUAAAGUUGUUGCGGUUAAAAAGCUCGUAGUUGGAUCUCAGUUCCAGACGGGUGGUCCGCCUAACGGUGGCUACUGCCUGUUCUGAACAGCCAGCCGGUUUCUCUUGAUGAUCUUCACCGGUUGUCUUGGGUGACCGGCAAGUUUACUUUGAAAAAAUUAGAGUGCUCAAAGCAGGCGCGACGCCUGAAUAAUGGUGCAUGGAAUAAUGGAAUAGGACCUCGGUUCUAUUUUGUUGGUUUUCGGAACACGAGGUAAUGAUUAAGAGGGACAGACGGGGGCAUUCGUAUUGCGACGCUAGAGGUGAAUUCUUGGACCGUCGCAGACGAUNNNANNUUUUUUUU
rnacentral:rRNA from 1 species